UUGGCUUAGAAGCAGCCACCAUUGAAAGAGUGCGUAAUAGCUCACUGGUCGAGUGACCCCGCGCCGAAAAUGUACCGGGGCUAAACAUAUUACCGAAACUGUGGAUGAACCUCUUUAGAGGUUCGUGGUAGGAGAGCGUUCUAAGGGCGGUGAAGUCAGACCGGAAGGACUGGUGGAGCGCUUAGAAGUGAGAAUGCCGGUAUGAGUAGCGAAAGAAGGGUGAGAAUCCCUUCCACCGAAUAUCUAAGGUUUCCUGAGGAAGGCUCGUCCGCUCAGGGUUAGUCGGGACCUAAGCCGAGGCCGAUAGGCGUAGGCGAUGGACAACAGGUAGAGAUUCCUGUACCAGUGCUAAUUGUUUAACCGAUGGGGUGACACAGAAGGAUAGGGAAUCGCACGAAUGGAAAUGUGCGUCCAAGCAGUGAGUGUGAGAA
rnacentral:rRNA from 1 species